UUUUUCAGAUCUUGGUGUAUUGUCUUCAUACUUGGCCACAAUAACCUUCAAAUAGACCAGACUAAACUAAAUUAACUUGACCACCAUAUUAACAUUCAAGAAGUUCGGCCUACAUGUCAGAUUUAUGAAUGUGAACAGCAGGAUAUCGAUUUUAAGGAUGCUUUAGGGUCAAUGACAAUGAAAUCACGAGAGAUCAAGGCUAAAAUGUGAGACUGUCAAUCUGACUAACCUUGAAGUGAACAAAUGGAAAAAAUGUUUCUUUCAAUAGCAUGGGCUUUUAAGGAAGAGGAAACAGAGGCGCUUAUAUGAUAGAACAGUAAAAGCAGGAGUGAUAAGGAAAGAUACAUGUAGAUGUGUCUUCAUGUCGGAAACACUAAAGAAAUAGAAAUAUU